GAUUGUUUACUGACUGUUUUCUGGGGGCAAAGGCUGUCUCCUUUGUCACUCAGCUCUUCAGUGUCACAUGGGCCCUGAUCCGUAACUGAAACUUUUAGAUCCCACCAUCACCUAAGUAUUAAUUGCAAAAGAAGUAGCUAAGCUUGAGCAUCUGCUCUGGAUCUGCAUGACUGCAAUGUAGGCAGAAGGCUUCAAAAAGACAGUCCCUAUCAGACAGGAGGGAGAGGAGACAAAGAAAUGAGUGAGGUGGAAGGAGACUCCUCUCUUGCUUACUGUGCAGCAGUACUGUCCUCAACAGAGUCACACAGACACUUUCCAUUGACUUCCAAGGGCUUGCAACAUGGCCCAAAAGACAACCUGUAGGUGCACGUUUCUAAGGAGGUGCAAUGACUGGGAUUUGCAUCCAAACAGGAACCCUGCAGAUUUCUUCAAAUCCUGGUGACAAAGAUACAAUGGCAACCAGAAACAUUAUGCUCACAAUGCUGAAGAAUGCAAAUGCAUUAGCUCAUGACCUCCGAG